UUUGGCUGGGAAGAUUCAUUGGACUGAGCACCAAAUAAAAGGUCAAUUAAACAACUGACAGAUGGAAAAAUGUGUUGCAGUUGUCUAGAGAACACCAGAGCAUGUGACCCCAACACAAUUACACAUAUGAAUGGCCAUAAUGAGAAAAUAGAAUAUGUUUGAGAGUAAUCUAAUAAUGUGUGGAUACAAGCAUCCAAAAAGUAUUGAUCACUUUCAACAGCCACCUCCCUGCAACUCCUUGCAUACAGUCAAAAGGCACACAUUUAUAAGAGACUGGAUAGAUUCUUCAACUGGCAUUGAAAUAUCAAUAAAAAAUGACAUUAUAUAUACAGAUAUAUAAUGACCACUUCAAUUAAUAUGCAUUAUUAGCAACAUCAACAGGAUGCAUGUUAUUUUACACAGGAUUGUAACUGCAAGUAAAUUACAAAAAAAGCUUCUAAGGUUCAGUCAAAGAUUGUUAGGCAACUCUGCAGCUGUGCAUUUCCCAAAAGUUCAGAUUAUAAAAAUGAAUUCAACACUCUUUGAUCUUUAUUUGAUCGCUUCAGCCUAUGUUACUCGGUCAUGGGUACGGAUGUCGGAAAAGGGUACACAUCCAUGUGUCAGACUUACGAACUUUCUAAAUAAAAAAUACAGGGAUAUGGAUCUAAAUUUACACACAGGUGCUCAUUAAGUUAUCUAGGCUGAAAAGGUUGCAAUAAUCUAUCCAACAUGGACCGGCCAACCACAAUUAAAAUUGUGAUAUGCAACCAUUGGAUUCUCGAAAUAUUCAACAUUUUUUUUAACUUAUUUUGUACCUAUCCUUUAAUUCAA
rnacentral:misc_RNA from 1 species